GACGAACGCUGGCGGCGUGCCUAAUACAUGCAAGUCGAGCGGACGGAUGGGAGCUUGCUCCCAGACCGUCAGCGGCGGACGGGUGAGUAACACGUGGGCAACCUGCCUGUAAGACUGGGAUAACUCCGGGAAACCGGGGCUAAUACCGGAUAACUCUUUCCCUCACAUGAGGGAAAGCUGAAAGAUGGCAUCUCGCUAUCACUUACAGAUGGGCCCGCGGCGCAUUAGCUAGUUGGUGAGGUAACGGCUCACCAAGGCGACGAUGCGUAGCCGACCUGAGAGGGUGAUCGGCUACACUGGGACUGAGACACGGCCCAGACUCCUACGGGAGGCAGCAGUAGGGAAUCUUCCGCAAUGGACGAAAGUCUGACGGAGCAACGCCGCGUGAGUGAUGAAGGUUUUCGGAUCGUAAAACUCUGUUGUCAGGGAAGAACAAGUACCGGAGUAACUGCCGGUACCUUGACGGUACCUGACCAGAAAGCCACGGCUAACUACGUG
rnacentral:rRNA from 1 species